CUGCUGCCUCCCGUAGGAGUCUGGUCCGUGUCUCAGUACCAGUGUGGGGGACCUUCCUCUCAGAACCCCUACGCAUCGUCGCCUCGGUGGGCCGUUACCCCGCCGACUAGCUAAUGCGCCGCAUGGCCAUCCGCAGCCGAUAAAUCUUUAAACAUCGGGAGAUGCCUCCCAAUGUUGUUACGCGGUAUUAGACGGAAUUUCUUCCGCUUAUCCCCCUGCUGCGGGCAGGUUCCAUACGUGUUACUCACCCGUGCGCCGGUCGCCGG
rnacentral:rRNA from 1 species